AACGCAGCAUCCUGAGAAACAACAAAGCAAGAGGUUUUUGUGACGAUGGUCGAUGUUUGUGUAGGUGAACGGGGAUAGUCGACCAUCGCAUGUUGACGUGUUCUUUGAGGCAGGGGGGCAUGUAAUGGCCUUUUUUGUAAUCUUGCGGCGGCUCCACAGAUCCUAACAUUGUAGUGGCUCUGGAAGACGAGCGAAACAAUGGUUUCCUCUUCUACUACCUCAUUGCUGGUGCUGGGAGCGGGAGCAUUGGUAGGGUCUGCUCUCACUCUCGCCCUCAUCUCUUGGCGUACUUCCAAGACCAGCAACAGGAGACAAUUGGCAAUUCCGUCUUUAGUCAAGAAUCCUACGUAUGAGCCAUUCGUAGAUACCAGCAAAAACGCGAACGGUGUAAUUGAGACUACUUACGAUACACUGUCGUCAUUGCCAAAACUGAGUAAUAAUCUUCCAGUUGAAGAUUUCUUGCGUGAUGAGAUAGUCAAUGAGCAAUUCACCAGGAAUGUGCAGUUUUUUGGGGAUGCAGGUCAAUUGAAGGUGCACCGUGCUUUCGUAGUAGUGGUGGGGCUUGGUGGCGUAGGCAGUCAUGCAGCCGCUAUGUUACUACGCUCUGGAGUAGGCAAGUUACGAUUGAUUGAUUUUGAUCAGGUCUCACUCUCAUCAUUGAAUCGUCAUGCGGUCGCUACGCGGGCAGAUGUUGGCAUGUCAAAAGCUGUGUGCUUGCAAAAUCACUUCCAACGAAUUUUUCCGGAGUGUCAAGUUGAGGCACGGGUGCAAAUGUAUGACGCUUCCGCCCAAGACGAGCUUCUUUCUGGCUCCCCUGACUAUGUCCUUGAUUGCAUUGACAACAUUGACACAAAGGUCGCCCUUUUGGCAGCUUGUGUGAAGAAGGGUCUGAAAGUUUUGUCAGCAACAGGAGCUGGCGCUCGUUUGGAUCCUACUCGUAUUCGCAUUGCAGACUUAAAGGAGUCGUCAAAUGAUCCUCUAUCUCGAUCCGUAAGACAUCGCUUAAGAAGAGAGCAUGACAUUCAUGGAGGAAUUCCAGUUGUUUUCUCUUUGGAGAAACCCAAAAUGAAGUUGCUACCUUUCAAGAGUCCUAACGAAGACGACGCUCGGCCUGAGGAUUAUCAGGUUGUUCCGGGGUUCAGGGUGCGCAUCAUCCCAGUAAUGGGUACCAUCCCAGCAAUAUUCGGUCAAAUAAUGGCUACAUAUGUGGUCACUCAACUUGCAGGCAUGCCUGUACAGACUGAGCCUGUCGUAAACCUGGAUGUGGAGCACUAUGGAUUACUUCACCAGCGGCUGAUUGAGCGGGAAGAGCUUCAAUUUGGCUCUGCCGAUGCCGUUGAGGUGGAUAAAGAGGAAGUCGCAUAUGUAGUUCGAGAACUUUGGCGGGGCCGUAGUGCUAGAGAUCAAGAUUCUACCAAUGUGGGUAGAGGCAUGUGGCGCUCUAUAAACAACCUUACUCUUACCAGAUGGGAUCAAACACGGCCACCUAGUAUUGACAACCUGGUGUUAUUAACCUUUGACGAGGCGGAAGCUCAUGAAGCAACGACUUUAGAAGAUUUAGCCUUCGAUGAAUGGGAAUAUUAUUCUAUGGUUGAAUCUGUAUUAGCUCGUGCAGUAAGAGAUUUAAGUUAAUUAUGUUCUCAGUUGGUUGGCACUCAGAGUUGCACGACUGAAACUAGCAUGACUUUCUAGAUCGUAGUUAAGCGCUCCCCUUUGAACAACAGCUUGCAGUUUCCGCCCGUUCUCAACCACGGACUUUGGCACUCACUGGAACGAGCUACGUGAAAGUCCCGAUAAUCAUUGAGAGCUGAAGCAGCCAUUCUGAGAUUUAUCAAGUCUUACGUGACCUUGCAGUCCUCUGUACCUGCUGAGAAACUUUAAUUUAAGCUGCUCUUGGGACUAUACAAUGGAUGCGUAGGUCUUUGGUAUUUAAGGAACAUAGGAACCAUUUGUUUUGACAACCUUAAAGCACCUUGACGCGUUACAGGUCUCAUAAUCUUGUAAUGGACCAUAAGUAAGCAGGAGAAACCUACAGAUAAAGUCUAUCAGUCAUGUACAUAAAAGCUCAACACCAGCUGGUCUGAUGCAAUUUGGUGCCUUGUUUGUUAUUUUUGUUCCAAAUCACUCCUUUUUCUUUCUUUUCA